GCUGGUGUAGCUCAGCGGAAGAGCAGGAAGCCUCGCUUCCAGGUCGCCGGUUCGAUCCCGGCCUCCAGCA
rnacentral:tRNA from 1 species